rnacentral:rRNA from 1 species
UACGGGGGGAGCAAGCGUUGUUCGGAUUUACUGGGCGUAAAGGGCGCGUAGGCGGCCACCGCAAGUCGACUGUGAAAUCUCCGGGCUUAACCCGGAAAGGUCAGCCGAUACUGCGGGGCUAGAGUGCAGAAGGGGCAACUGGAAUUCUCGGUGUAGCGGUGAAAUGCGUAGAUAUCGAGAGGAACACCUGCGGCGAAGGCGGGUGCUGGGCUGACACUGACGCUGAUGCGCGAAAGCUAGGGGAGCGAACGGG